rnacentral:rRNA from 2 species
ACUGAUUGAUGGUGCUUGCACCUGAUUGACGAUGGAUCACCAGUGAGUGGCGGACGGGUGAGUAACACGUAGGUAACCUGCCCCGGAGCGGGGGAUAACAUUUGGAAACAGAUGCUAAUACCGCAUAACAACAAAAGCCACAUGGCUUUUGUUUGAAAGAUGGCUUUGGCUAUCACUCUGGGAUGGACCUGCGGUGCAUUAGCUAGUUGGUAAGGUAACGGCUUACCAAGGCGAUGAUGCAUAGCCGAGUUGAGAGACUGAUCGGCCACAAUGGAACUGAGACACGGUCCAUACUCCUACGGGAGGCAGCAGUAGGGAAUCUUCCACAAUGGGC